GUUAUAGUUAGAAGUAAGAAAACUGUUCGAUAUUUUGGUGUAUGAGCAAGAACUAAAUAGAAAAAUGAAGCCGUUGGAUUAUAGGAAGAAAAUUGUUCGAACAGCUAAUUAUAUAUAUGAAAGUUGGACAACUCUCUCCAUAUGAGUGACACAUCAUCAUACAAGAAAAUGACAUGUAUUAUUCUACAUUAAUUAAAUUAAAAGAUUAGCAAACUA
rnacentral:sRNA from 1 species